UACGGAGGGUGCGAGCGUUGUCCGGAAUCACUGGGCGUAAAGGGCGCGUAGGCGGCAUGCCAAGCGUGUGGUGAAAGCCCGGGGCUCAACCCCGGGUCGGCCGUGCGGACUGGCGUGCUCGAGCACUGUAGGGGCGGGUGGAAUUCCGGGUGUAGCGGUGGAAUGCGUAGAGAUCCGGAAGAACACCGGUGGCGAAGGCGGCCUUCUGGACAGCAACUGACGCUGAGACGCGAAAGCGUGGGGAGCAAACAGG
rnacentral:rRNA from 1 species